AGCAGCCGCGGUAAUUCCAGCUCCAAUAGCGUAUAUUAAAGUUGUUGCAGUUAAAAAGCUCGUAGUUGAAUUUCGGGGUUAGUAGGUUGGUCAUGCCUCUGGUAUGUACUGGUCUCACUGAUUCCUCCUUCCUGAUGAACCUUAAUGCCAUUAAUUUGGUGUUUUGGGGAAUUUGGACUGUUACUUUGAAAAAAUUAGAGUGUUUAAAGCAAAGCUAACGCUUGAAUACAUUAGCAUGGAAUAAUGAAAUAGGACGUUCGAUCCUAUUUUGUUGGUUUCUAGGAUUGACGUAAUGAUUAAUAGGGAUAGUUGGGGGCAUUAGUAUUCAAUUGUCAGAGGUGAAAUUCUUGGAUUUAUUGAAGACUAACUACUGCGAAAGCAUUUGCCAAAGGAUGUUUUCAUUAAUCAAGAACGAAAGUUAGGGGAUCGAAGACGAUCAGAUACCGUCGUAGUCUUAACCAUAAACUAUGCCGACUAGGGAUCGGAUGAUGUUAAUUUUUUAAUGACUC
rnacentral:rRNA from 1 species